rnacentral:lncRNA from 1 species
GAGAGUAGACUUUCAUGAACUUCAGCCUAACAAAAAAAUUGAAACCAUCCCACCUAGGCGAAGUGAGAGAGACCACCUACUUUUUUCACUUACCUUGGGGAGGAUUAUGAGAGGAUUAAUGAAGAACCUGAUGAAGAACCUUAUUCUUACCUAUAUGCUAUGUCUUGUCCGGAUAAUAAGUUAUGGAAGUAAGCCAUGCAAGAUGAAAUAAAUUCAAUCAUAAAGAACUAUGUAUGAGAAUUAGUCUG